GACGAACGCUGGCGGCGUGCUUAACACAUGCAAGUCGAACGGAAAGGCCCUGCUCUUGCGGCGCGCUCGUGUGGCGAACGGGUGUGUAACACGCGUGUAACACGCCCUUAACUUUGGGAUAACUUCUGGAAACAGGGGCUAUUACCGGAUAGGACCUCCUGCUGCACGGUGGGGGUUGGAAAGUUUCGGCCGUUUGGGCUCGACUCGCGGCUUAUGAGCUUGUUGGGCGGGUAGUUGCUUACCAAGGCUUUGACGGAUAGCCGGCAUGAGAGGGUGGCCGGGCACAAGGGGCCUACGAGAGGGCGCAGACGGGUACGGGAGGCAGUAGUGGGGAAUAUUGCACAAUGAGGGGAAGCCUGAUACAGCGACGCCGCGUGCGUGAUGACCGCCUACGGGUGGAAAACCGCUUUCGACUGUGACGAAGAGUGAGUGACGGUAAUGGGUAAAGAAGCACCGGCUAACUACGUG
rnacentral:rRNA from 1 species